rnacentral:rRNA from 1 species
UACGUAGGGUGCGAGCGUUGUCCGGAAUUAUUGGGCGUAAAGAGCUCGUAGGCGGUUUGUCGCGUCUGCUGUGAAAACCCGAGGCUCAACCUCGGGCCUGCAGUGGGUACGGGCAGACUAGAGUGGCGGGUAGGGGAUGGAAUUUCGGAAUUGCCUGGGUGGUGAAGCGGUGGAAUGCCGGCAGAAUAUCGAGGAAGGAACCGCCGGGUGGGCGAAAGGG